CGUUUUUCGUUGAAAUUUUCUGAUCGUCUGAUUUGUUUACCUUACACACGUAUUUUUUAUAAGAAUAGGGUUAGUGGGUCAAACCGUAACGGAAAUCGCCUGCUAAAGUUGUAGAGUUUGGUGCAAAAAGGCGACAAACAAUCGACACAUGGACAAGUCCAUGUGUUUGAUAGAAUUUGAUUUUACGAACGUGUCCACGCUUUCUGCAAUUGUAGUGAUUAGUUGGUCAGGUGCUAAAAUAAUACUAUUCUACGAAGGU